rnacentral:rRNA from 1 species
CCUACGGGGGGCAGCAGUGAGGAAUAUUGGUCAAUGGACGAGAGUCUGAACCAGCCAAGUAGCGUGAAGGAUGACUGCCCUAUGGGUUGUAAACUUCUUUUAUAUGGGAAUAAAAUGUUCCACGUGUGGGAUUUUGUAUGUACCAUAUGAAUAAGGAUCGGCUAACUCCGUGCCAGCAGCCGCGGUAAUACGGAGGAUCCGAGCGUUAUCCGGAUUUAUUGGGUUUAAAGGGAGCGUAGGUGGAUUGUUAAGUCAGUUGUGAAAGUUUGCGGCUCAACCGUAAAAUUGCAGUUGAAACUGGCAGUCUUGAGUACAGUAGAGGUGGGCGGAAUUCGUGGUGUAGCGGUGAAAUGCUUAGAUAUCACGAAGAACUCCGAUUGCGAAGGCAGUUCACUGGACUGCAACUGACACUGAGGCUCGAAAGUGUGGGUAUCAAACAGGAUUAGAUAUCCCAGUAGUC